CACCAGAAAGCUCAAAAGAAGCACCAGCCUUUUAAGCUGGAAGUUGGCGCCUAAUCCCGCCUCUGGUGA
rnacentral:tRNA from 1 species